rnacentral:rRNA from 1 species
AUUGAACGCUGGCGGCAUGCCUUACACAUGCAAGUCGAACGGCAGCACGGGGCAACCUGGUGGCGAGUGGCGAACGGGUGAGUAAUGCAUCGGAACGUACCUUUCAGUGGGGGAUAACGUAGCGAAAGUUACGCUAAUACCGCAUAUUCUGUGAGCAGGAAAGCAGGGGAUCGCAAGAACUUGCGCUGAUUGAGCGGCCGAUGUCAGGUUAGCUAGUUGGGGAGGUAAAGGCUCACCAAGGCGACGAUCUGUAGCGGGUCUGAGAGGAUGAUCCGCCACACUGGGACUGUGGCACGGUCCAGACUCCUACGUGAGGCAGCAGUGGUGAAUUUUGGACAAUGGGAGCAACCCUGAUCCAGCCAUGCCGCUGGAGUGAAGAAGGCCUUCGGGUUGUAAAGCUCUUUCGGCCGGGAAGAAAUCGCACGGGCUAAUACCCUGCGUGGAUGACGGUACCGGAAUAAGAAGCACCGGCUAACUACGUGCCAGCAGCCGCGGUAAAAC